AACGAACGCUGGCGGCAUGCCUAACACAUGCAAGUCGAACGAGACCAUCGGGUCUGGUGGCGCUCGGGGGCGGAGCGCGUGGGAACCUGCCCUUAGGUUCGGAAUAAUUCCCUGACAGGGGUGCUAAUACCGGGUAAUUUCUUCGGACAAAAGAUUUAUCGCGCUUGGGUGGGCCCGCGUUGGUCUAGCUGGUUGGUAGGGUAAAAGCCUAUCAAGGCGACGAUCCAUAGCUGGGCUGAGAGGCUGGUCAGCCACACUUGGGCGAAGACGCGGCCCGGACUCCUACGCAAGGCGGGCGAGCCGAAUAUAGCACGACGGCGUGGGUCCUGAUCGCGCUCUGCUGGGUGAGUCAUGAUGUCGGUAGGGUAGUGAAGCUCUUUUAUCCGGCGUGAUAAUGACGGUACCGAGAGAAUAAGCACCGGCUAACUCCGUG
rnacentral:rRNA from 1 species